rnacentral:rRNA from 1 species
AGAGUUUGAUCCUGGCUCAGAAUCAACGCUGGAGGCGCGCUUAACACAUGCAAGUCGAGCGAGAAAGGGUAGCAAUACCUGAGUAAAGCGGCGUACGGGUGAGUAACACGUGGGUCAUAUACCCUUUGGUGGGGAAUAACGUUGGGAAACCGACGCUAAUACCGCAUAAUCCCGAGAGGGAAAAGCCGCAAGGCGCCGAAGGAAUAGCCCGCGGCCGAUUAGCUAGUUGGUGAGGUAAUGGCUCACCAAGGCUUCGAUCGGUAGCCGGCCUGAGAGGGCACACGGCCACACUGGCACUGAAACACGGGCCAGACUCCUACGGGAGGCAGCAGUGGGGAAUCUUGCACAAUGGACGAAAGUCUGAUGCAGCGACGCCUCGUGAGUGAUGAAGGUCUUCGGAUCGUAAAGCUCUUUCGACUGGGAAGAUAAUGACGGUACCAGGAGAAGAAGCUGCGGCUAACUACGUGCCAGCAGCCGCGGUAAU